UUUGUGCCACCUGCCUCCUGUGUUGCCUUUUUUCUGUCACGUUGAGAUGUUUUCUCUCUCUUCAUCUCUUCUCUUCUUUACACAAAGUCUAAGCAUUUUUUGUUUUUUGUUUCUCUUCUCAUCUUCAUUCUAUUUUUAUUUUUUUUUACGAUUUUGGUUUGGCUUUGAGGAUGGGUUGGGUAGCCAUGCUUUAUCUCGCCGUCGUUCCUGCACUCAACCGAGUUUCCCUUUCUGUGCUUGGCUUUAGACUAUAAAUUUAGCCUCCGAGUUUAAUUUGGGGUUUGGUUUGGUUUCAACGAUUAUCUAAUCAAGCUUCUCCUAAUCGGCGACUUUUCCGUUGAAAAUCUUGCUUGCUUCUCAGAUUCGCUGUGAGUCAUCACUUUAUUUGCUUCUCCUAAUCUCUCUUUUUGUUCACUUCCUUUGUUUCUUCAUUUCGUUUCAGGAUGACUCCUAGGUCGACAGCUACAAAAUCAGAAUCGUGGAGCUGGAAGGGAAAACCGUCAAGUUGCAGAUUGUUAGUGAUCCUUGAAAAUGGAGAGCAACAUGAUGGUGAUAUUUUAAUAAGAGCAGAUGGAAUAUGGUCAGAAGUGCGUUCAAAACUCUUUGGGCGGCAAGAAGCAAAUUACUCGGGUUUCACAUGCUAUAGUGGAUUAACAAGCUAUGUGCCCCCAUAUAUUGAUACCGUUAGAUAGGGUACUUCAUUCCCAAAUAAAAUGUUGGGACAAUGUUAUAAACUGUUCUACUAUUUAAAGUUUCUGUUUUGGUGAUUACAUGAAGGUAUCGGUGUUCUUGGGCUUGAACCAGUACUUUGUUGCUUCAGAUGUUGGCCAUGGCAAGAUGCGGUGGUAUGCUUUCCAUGGGGAACCCCCUUCAAGUGACCCUUUCCCAAAAGGUAAGAAGAAUAGGCUUUUGGAUCUCUUUGGUAAUUGGUGUGAUGAACUGAUUGCACUCAUAUCAGAAACAUGAGAACAUAUGAUUAUACAGAGGUGAUGCAGCACAUCCAAUGCAACCAAAUCUUGGUCAAGGAGGGUGUAUGGCAAUAGAGGUUGUUCAUUUGUAGUUUACAACUUCCAAAUAAAAUGUAUUUCCUUGAGUAUAUACAAUUCAGGCAGCAUUAAUAUAUAGUGCUACAUGGAUAAACAUUAUCUAAUACCUAAAAUCUUUAUUUAUUUUUAUUAAUCUGCCUUAAUUUCAAUUUCAUUCCUCUAACCAAAUCUUUAUUUAUUUUUAUCAAAAUUGAGUGCUUUUUCUUAUGCAUCAAUAUAGGCCUCUGAUUUUGUGCCAAAAGUUGUGGAUUUAGCAGCCAGAGAAUUAAUAGCAAUUGCAUCACCGGGACAAGGUUUAAUCUGGGUUGCUUUUUUUCUCUUGCUGUGAAUCCUGGUAUGUGCCAAAUUAAAUAUAGGCUUCCUGCAAUGACAGUUACACAGGUACAGCUUGACCAUGCCAAGACAUCCACGGAGUCUGUAAUUGUAAUGAAUUUAGAGUCCAGAAUGAUUGCAUCAGAGAAUAUAGAAAGGCAGGUAUUGAGUUAUGGAGAAAGUGUCUAGGAAUUCGUCCUGGAGUUAUGGAUGGGGCCAUCAGUAUAUCUGCUGUUCAGGUUUGUUUUCAAUAUAAAUGACUAAAUCAAACUAAAAUCAGAAUGAUCCCCAUGUUAAAUGUGAAAAAUAAAAUAACUGAAUUUGGGCAGAACGCAUACUGGGUGAAUGAAAUGAUAAGGGGGAUUAUUAUAUGUGAAUAAGUAUUCUUCUCUACCAAGUUUGAUAGGGAGCAUCUCAUUUUCAUUAUUAAUUCCAUGGACAUUUGUACGACGAGGCAAACUUUUAUAUGACAAUGCAGUGGUUAUGCAAUGCUGAUAAAUCCUCUCACAACCCUCGAUUAAGAUUUUGAUUGCUAGAUAAAAAAUGAAACCCUUUCAUUAACCCAACAAUGUCUUGAAACCACCCCAUUUGGAAAAUAACCUUAUUGCUUCUUGGUCUGCAAAAUAUCAUGGCAGAUGCAAGUUUCUUUGUUGGAGUCAUAGGCAACAUCAUCUCAAUUCUCAUGUUUCUUUCUCCUGUGUAAGCUCUAAGGUAUUAUUUGGGCAACAUCUUUCUCCUGUUCCUGCUCAACAUAAAUUAACAAAUGUCAACAUAAACUUAUAAAAGUUGAUGACCCAUCAGUAUUAUUUUUUAAUCUAAAUUACAGUUUUACCUGGAUAAUUUGGGUAAUAUAGGUUCGUAAUAAAUGUCAACACACCGAUUAGAUUAGUGAAGUAAAACUCUAAUUCUGAUCACAGAAUAAUACUUUUAGUGUAUUUAAAUUUUGUCCAUAUUCCAAUAUAUUUUCUAUUUUUUUCCAAAUUAAAAAAUUGUUUUGUGCUAUUAUCAUGUUUCUUAUCUUUUUUUUUGGUAUACUCAUUUACCUUGCUUUUACUAUAAGAAAAAUAGACUAAUUCAAAUUAUUAGUUUCUUUCCUUCUUCAUAUGAGCUAAUACAGUGAUACUGUAGACUUUUUUGUAUGUGUGUAUGUUUUUUCUUCUUCUUUUAGGUUGCUUUAGCAUUGAUUAUUCAUGGAAGAACAUGAUUUAUCCCUGUCUUCAAAUACAUGUUUUAUCUCUGGUUCGACCCCACCAGAAACUUCCACACUUAUUCUAUCAUUUGGAAGCACCAGCACAUCAUGUAGGUGAUAAUAAACAAAUAUUCAAAAUACAAAUUUUUGUUUAUUAGUAAAUAGUCUAUCAACUAAUAUUGCAGAGUUCACUUUUCAUUGCUUAAUUUGCAUUCUAGAUUAUAAUAUAUCUCAUAUUUAUUGCUACUGGAUGAUACAUAAAUUAAACAAAAGGAUGCAGACCUACGUUUUAGAAAAUAAAGAAGCACAGAUCUACGGAAGAUUUCUCAAGCCUUCCUUACAUUUGCACAUUGCUUAAUUGUUCCUUAUGGACUUACUAUGGAAUCAUAAAGGCUAGAGAGUACCUCGUGGCUACUGCCGAUGGCUUUGGCAUUGUGGUGGAGACAAUC